CCUUGCCGGCGACCGGCGCACGGGUGAGUAACACGUAUGCAACCUGCCCCUUCAGGGGGACAACCUUCCGAAAGGGAGGCUAAUCCCGCGUAUAUCGGUUUCGGGCAUCCGAGAUCGAGGAAAGAUUCAUCGGAAGAGGAUGGGCAUGCGGCGCAUUAGCUAGACGGCGGGGUAACGGCCCACCGUGGCGACGAUGCGUAGGGGUUCUGAGAGGAAGGUCCCCCACACUGGUACUGAGACACGGACCAGACUCCUACGGAAGGCAGCAG
rnacentral:rRNA from 1 species